ACAAAGACCUAGAUAGCCUGUGUGACACCACAGUUGUCUGUGGAACAAGGCUCCGGCUUGGCUGUGUGGGUGGUCCCGACAUCCUAGCUGACUUCUCAUCUGCCAAUAUCCUUUCUAUACUUCAGAGAAGCCCUCACAGGGAGCCGAUGUACCCAGAAAAGACAUUCCCCAUUAGGGGACAACUUAGGCAUCUGUCUGCUGAUGACUCCUCAGAGGACCACAGAUUGUUAUCUGAGCACACAGAAAAACAGAGCUAAGCUGUAGAGCAAUCUAGACCUCCAUGAUGAGAAGCUUUCUAAGCUCUCUUAAAGGGUUGGGCAUUUCUCAGAAUUGUAACACGUGUUUUAACUGAUAAAGCAAGAUCAAAAGGAAGUAGGAAACAGAAAAGCCAUCUGCAAAUAAAUUGCUGUUGCUGUAAAUCUUACUCCUUUCGCCUUCCACUCUUAAGAGAGAAGAAAGGGAUAAAGCUACCAAAAGAGGCAGGGAGUAAGGACAAAUAAAUGACUUGGCUAUCAACCUGCCGGCCUCUGAGAAGCUGCCACCCGUACCCCAAGAGAGUCUUUAAGCUGUGCUUGUGGCCAGUAGCUGGAUGAUGCUAGGUGACACUCAUGGUCACAUUCAUAUUGAGAUAGUGUGGCUCAGUCCGUAAUGGAAUUUAACAAGGGCUAGAGACGCACUUGUGAUUACCAGAGAGGACAGCUCUGCUGUGUGCUUUAGACAUGUCCUACCUGCCCCCCCCCCCAGAAGAUUUCAUCACUGUCUAGAGAACAGAAAGCGGUGGUUCUCUUUUUACCUGCCUCCAUGCCAAAAGAGCAUGAGCAACAGACAAAAGGAAAAAAGAUACUAAAUAAUUUAAGGGGAGAGUUGGUUGCUAAACCCACAGGGCUGAAGCGUACUGCAAUUUCUAGAGAUGCCUUUUUCUCUGGUUAGGUAAUAGCAGUAAGUGACAAGCAGGAUGGAGACCGGGUGGCCAAACAGCUUAACCACAGAGAGAAACUCCCGGAGGGGCUCAGGGCACCACCAACCGCAUGACCUGAGGCAGCUCACUGGCUCUCCGAGGCUCUCUUUGCUCUGUAAAAUGAAGCCUUCAUUUUUUUCCCCUGCAGGGUGCACAGCUGUGAGGCUGUGACCUGUGUCCCAGGGAGCCUCUUUGUCAUGUUCUGUCACUAUCAAAACCAAGAGGAGAAAGCCCCUGGAAAGAGAGCGCUAGGCACAAAGGAAAGCUCCUGCAGGGAACCUCCUUUUGAAAAUCUGCCCAUUUCCCAGUGUGUUCAGAAGGACUCUACCAGUGGAGAUGUCUGUAACAGAGUAACAGAAUUCAAGAGAAAUGUCAGCCUGCAUUACCAAUGGUACCUCAUCUCUGGUGAAAGAUUUCAGAUGAUUUCCCUAAGCAAUGUGUAAUACAAGCCAAAGCCCCAGAGUGGCUUCACAAACAAGAAGCAUGUGAAGACAACGCUCAUUCCAAGAACAAUACCUUCCUUCCUUCCUUCCUUCCUGAUCACCUCCAUUCCCAUGGCACCUUACUGAAUAUGAGGAGGUCUGUAUGUGACCAUCUCACCCCCAAAUCAAGGCCAAGCAGAAGGGUACCUCAGCCUCCCAAAAAUGUAUGACAGAGAAGUGCUAUGAGUUCAACAAUUCCAUUCAUGGAUGGGCUAU